rnacentral:rRNA from 1 species
UCCCCAGCAAGGCCUGGAGGGCGCGCCCCUCGUAUACGGCGAGGCGAUGCAAUCUGGCCUCCGAUCGUCGCCGCUGACGGUUCAACGCUGGCUACCAGACAUUGACAGAUCACACAGGCGCCAUCUUCACCUGGGACGAUUCCUCCUCGCUCACCACUGCGAUCGACUUCGUUACUGAGCACCGCGUAGAACUAGCUGAU